GUGCUGUGAUAAAGAAUAGAAAAAGGGACACACGUUGAGCUGGUGUCAGUUUCACAACAGGAAGGUUUAUUCUUCCUCUGUGCCCCAAAACGCUACUUGAUACCACUACGCGUAAUGCGCCCUCUAGCGGCUGGAUGCAGAAUAGCAUUGUAAACUGACAGGUACACAAAUACAAUCAUAACAAAAACCUUUGGGGGGGGGGGGGGGCUGUUUUCCCCAGUUUAUUUCUGAUACCAGAUUUUACUAGAAAGCUUUUUCAACUCUCUACAGAAGCAAUCUUUCACUUUAAAGACUUGGAGAGUCGUAGUAUGGAACGCCAGGACUGCCAUAAUGAAUUAAUUAAAUACACCAUUAAAUAAUUAAUUAAAUUUGGCAAUAAUUAAUUAAAAUUGGAAA